rnacentral:rRNA from 1 species
UACGAAGGGGGCUAGCGUUGUUCGGAGUUACUGGGCGUAAAGGGCGCGUAGGCGGCGCACCAAGUCAGGCGUGAAAGCCCUGGGCUCAACCCGGGGAAUUGCGCUUGAGACUGGUGUGCUUGAGUACGGGAGAGGAUAGUGGAAUUCCCAGUGUAGAGGUGAAAUUCGUAGAUAUUGGGAAGAACACCGGUGGCGAAGGCGGCUAUCUGGACCGUAACUGACGCUGAG